rnacentral:rRNA from 1 species
AUACGGAGGGUGCGAGCGUUAUUCGGAAUCACUGGGCGUAAAGGACGCGUAGGCGGGUUUGUAAGUCAGGUGUGAAAUCCUACAGCUCAACUGUAGAACUGCACUUGAAACUACAGACCUAGAGUAUGGAAGGGGCAGAUGGAAUUAGUGGUGUAGGGGUAAAAUCCGUAGAUAUCACUAGGAAUACCGAAAGCGAAGGCGAUCUGCUGGGACAUUACUGACGCUGAGGCGUGAAAGCGUGGGGAGCAAACAGGAUUAGAAACCCUAGUAGUCC